CCUAACACAUGCAAGUCGAACGGCAGCACGUCCUUCGGGAUGGUGGCGAGUGGCGCACGGGUGCGUAACGCGUAUGCAACCUACCUUUUACAGUGGGAUAGCCCAGAGAAAUUUGGAUUAAUACCGCAUAGUAUACAGUUCCAGCAUUGGUACUGUAUUAAACAUUUAUGGGUAAGAGAUGGGCAUGCGUUCUAUUAGUUAGUUGGAGUGGUAACGGCACCCCAAGACAGCGAUAGAUAGGGGCCCUGAGAGGGGGAUCCCCCACACUGGUACUGAGACACGGACCAGACUCCUACGGGAGGCAGCAGUGAGGAAUAUUGGACAAUGGGCGCAAGCCUGAUCCAGCCAUGCCGCGUGCAGGAAGACUGCCCUAUGGGUUGUAAACUGCUUUUAUACGGGAAGAAACACCCCCUCGUGAGGGGGUUUGACGGUACCGUAAGAAUAAGGAUCGGCUAACUCCGUGCCAGCAGCCGCGGUAAUACGGAGGAUCCAAGCGUUAUCCGGAAUCAUUGGGUUUAAAGGGUCCGUAGGUGGAUGAUUAAGUCAGAGGUGAAAUCCUGCAGCUCAACUGUAGAAUUGCCUUUGAUACUGGUCAUCUUGAAUUACUGUGAAGUGGUUAGAAUAUGUAGUGUAGCGGUGAAAUGCAUAGAUAUUACAUAGAAUACCAAUUGCGAAGGCAGAUCACUAACAGUACAUUGACACUGAUGGACGAAAGCGUGGGGAGCGAACAGGAUUAGAUACCCUGGUAGUCCACGCCGUAAACGAUGGAUACUAGCUGUCCGGCUUCGGCUGGGUGGCUAAGCGAAAGUGAUAAGUAUCCCACCUGGGGAGUACGUUCGCAAGAAUGAAACUCAAAGGAAUUGACGGGGGCCCGCACAAGCGGUGGAGCAUGUGGUUUAAUUCGAUGAUACGCGAGGAACCUUACCAGGGCUUAAAUGUAGAUUGACAGGGCUAGAGAUAGCUUUUCCUUCGGGCAAUCUACAAGGUGCUGCAUGGUUGUCGUCAGCUCGUGCCGUGAGGUGUCAGGUUAAGUCCUAUAACGAGCGCAACCCCUGUUGUUAGUUGCCAGCGAGUAAUGUCGGGAACUCUAGCAAGACUGCCCGGUGCAAACCGUGAGGAAGGUGGGGAUGACGUCAAAUCAUCACGGCCCUUACGUCCUGGG
rnacentral:rRNA from 1 species